rnacentral:rRNA from 1 species
ACCAAAACCAUCCUUCCCUCGGGAAGUUUUGUUUGAUGAUUCACAAUAACUGAUCGGAUCGCCACUGUGGUGGCGACAGGUCAUUCAACAUUCUGCCCUAUCAGCUUUCGAUGGUUGUGUAGUGGACAACCAUGGCCACAACGAGUAACGGAGAAUCAGGGUUCGAUUCCGGAGAAGGAGCUUGAGAAUUGGCUACUACAUCUAAGGAAGGCAGCAGGCGCGCAAAUUACCCAAUCCCGAUUCGGGGAGGUAGUGACAAAAAAUAACAAUACCGGGCCUUUUUGGGCUUGGUAAUUGGAAUGAGGGAGGGUUAAACGGACCAUCGAGUAUCCAUUGGAGGGCAAGUCUGGUGCCAGCAGCUGCGGUAAUACCAGCUCCAAUAGCGUAUAUUAAAGUUGUUGCAGUUAAAAAGCUCGUAGUUGGACUUGUGUGCGCUGUCCGCGGGUGGCCUGCGCCCAAAAGGGCGUUUCGGUUCGGCCCCGGUGGCGCCUUGAAAUCUGCAGCUGGGGGGACGUUGGCCUUAACUGGUCGGCGACCGCACGCCGGCUGCUCGGUUACUGUGAGAAAAUUAGAGUGUUCAAGGCAGGCAUUGGGUGCAAUUGAAUACAUUAGCAUGGAAUAAUAAAAUGUGGCUCCUGCCGUAUUUUGUUGGUUUUGACUGGUGGGAGUAAUGAUUGAUAGGGACGGUUGGGGGUGCUAGUAUUGAGCGGCCAGAGGUGAAAUUCAUGGAUUCGCUCAAGACUAACUUAUGCGAAAGCAUUCACCAAGGACGUCCUCUUUAAUCAAGAUCGAAAGUUGGGGGAUCGAAGACGAUCAGAUACCGUCGUAGUCUCAACCAUAAACUAUGUCGACUUGGGAUCGGCGGUAGUUUUUUCAUUAAGACACUGUCGGGACCACGGGAGAAAUCAAAGUGUCUGGACUCUGGGGGAAGUAUGGUCGCAAGGCUGAAACUUGAAGGAAUUGACGGAAGGGCACCACCAGGAGUGGAGCCUGCGGCUUAAUUUGACCCAACACGGGGAAACUUACCAGGUCCAGAGAUGUAGAGGAUUGACAGAUUGAAGCUCUUUCUUGAUCACUUCGGUGGUGGUGCAUGGCCGUUCUUAGUUGGUGAGUGAUUUGUCUGGUAAAUUCCGUUAACGAACGAGACCUCAGCCUGCUAGUGUAGUCGGCUGGAUUGCCUUUGGCGAUCCGUGAUUUCGACUUCUUAGAGGGACAAUCGACGCGCAGUCGAUGGAAGUUUGAGGCAAUAACAGGUCUGUGAUGCCCUUAGAUGUUCUGGGCCGCACGCGCGCUACACUGCUGGGCUCAGCGAGUUUUACUUGGCCGAGACGCCCGGUUAAUCUUGUGAAAUCCCAGCGUGCUUGGGCUCGCCUCCUGCAACUGGAGGCGCC